rnacentral:rRNA from 3 species
UUCGGUGGCAAUACCGGAGGGGUCACACCCGUUCCCAUCCCGAACACGGAAGUUAAGCCCUCCAGGGCCGAUGAUACUGCACCCGCGAGGGUGUGGGAAAGUAGGACGCUGCCGGAU